AUACGGAGGAUCCGAGCGUUAUCCGGAUUUAUUAGGUUUAAAGGGUGCGCAGGCGGCCAUUUAAGUCAGCGGUUAAAUCGUGGGGCUCAACCCCAUUCUGCCGUUGAUACUGGGUGGCUUGAUUGCGGUCGAGGUUGGCGGAAUUCGUUGUGUAGCGGUGAAAUGCAUAGAUAUGACGAAGAACACCGAUUGCGUAGGCAGCUGACCAGACCGCAAAUGACGCUCAUGCACGAAAGUGCGGGGAUCGAACAGGAUUAGAUACCCUGGUAGUCCGCACAGUAAACGAUGAAUACUUGUUUUCGGCGAUAUAAUGUCGGAGGCAAAGCGAAAGCGAUAAGUAUUCCACCUGGGGAGUACGCCGGCAACGGUGAAACUCAAAUGAAUUGGCGGGG
rnacentral:rRNA from 1 species